UACGUAGGUGGCAAGCGUUGUCCGGAUUUACUGGGCGUAAAGAGCGCGCAGGCGGUCGUUCAAGUCGCGUGUGAAAGCCCCCGGCUCAACUGGGGAGGGUCACGCGAUACUGAUCGACUCGAAGGCAGGAGAGGGUAGUGGAAUUCCCGGUGUAGUGGUGAAAUGCGUAGAUAUCGGGAGGAACACCAGUGGCGAAGGCGACUACCUGGCUCGUUUCUGACGCUCAGGCGCGACAGCGUGGGGAUCAAACAGG
rnacentral:rRNA from 1 species